rnacentral:misc_RNA from 1 species
AACGCACGAGACCUGCGGACCUGCGGAGGGAUCAUUAUCGAGUUUACAACUCCCAAACCAUUGUGAAUCUUACCUUUUCGUUGCUUCGGCGGGAUCGCCCCGGGCGCUUCGGUGCCCCGGAUUCAGGCGCCCGCCGGGGGACCUAAACUCUUGUAUUAUAGUGGAUUUCUGAGUGGAUUACACAAAUAAUCAAAACUUUUAACAACGGAUCUCU